AAGAACACCGAAGUUAAGCAACGUCGAGCCAGGUCAGUACCUAGAUGGGUGACAGCUUGGGAAUACCAGGUGUUU